rnacentral:rRNA from 1 species
GAUGAACGCUAGCGGCGUGCCUAAUACAUGCAAGUCGAGCGAACGGACGAGAAGCUUGCUUCUCUGAUGUUAGCGGCGGACGGGUGAGUAACACGUGGAUAACCUACCUAUAAGACUGGGAUAACUUCGGGAAACCGGAGCUAAUACCGGAUGAUAUUUUGAACCGCAUGGUUCAAAAGUGAAAGACGGUCUUGCUGUCACUUAUAGAUGGAUCCGCGCUGCAUUAGCUAGUUGGUAAGGUAACGGCUUACCAAGGCAACGAUGCAUAGCCGACCUGAGAGGGUGAUCGGCCACACUGGAACUGAGACACGGUCCAGACUCCUACGGGAGGCAGCAGUAGGGAAUCUUCCGCAAUGGGCGAAAGCCUGACGGAGCAACGCCGCGUGAGUGAUGAAGGUCUUCGGAUCGUAAAACUCUGUUAUUAGGGAAGAACAUAUGUGUAAGUAACUGUGCACAUCUUGACGGUACCUAAUCAGAAAGCCACGGCUAACUACGUG